rnacentral:rRNA from 1 species
GGCUCAGGACGAACGCUGGCGGCGUGCCUAAUACAUGCAAGUCGAGCGGACAGAAGGGAGCUUGCUCCCGGAUGUUAGCGGCGGACGGGUGAGUAACACGUGGGUAACCUGCCUGUAAGACUGGGAUAACUCCGGGAAACCGGAGCUAAUACCGGAUAGUUCCUUGAACCGCAUGGUUCAAGGAUGAAAGACGGUUUCGGCUGUCACUUACAGAUGGACCCGCGGCGCAUUAGCUAGUUGGUGGGGUAAUGGCUCACCAAGGCGACGAUGCGUAGCCGACCUGAGAGGGUGAUCGGCCACACUGGGACUGAGACACGGCCCAGACUCCUACGGGAGGCAGCAGUAGGGAAUCUUCCGCAAUGGACGAAAGUCUGACGGAGCAACGCCGCGUGAGUGAUGAAGGUUUUCGGAUCGUAAAGCUCUGUUGUUAGGGAAGAACAAGUGCGAGAGUAACUGCUCGCACCUUGACGGUACCUAACCAGAAAGCCACGGCUAACUACGUGCCAGCAGCCGCGGUAAUACGUAGGUGGCAAGCGUUGUCCGGAAUUAUUGGGCGUAAAGGGCUCGCAGGCGGUUUCUUAAGUCUGAUGUGAAAGCCCCCGGCUCAACCGGGGAGGGUCAUUGGAAACUGGGAAACUUGAGUGCAGAAGAGGAGAGUGGAAUUCCACGUGUAGCG